AGUUGACUAACUCUGAUGAUUUCUGUGAUCGGAGCUUCUUCGAGGGAAAGAAAGUCCAACAAGAAACUGGGGACGCUGGAGGGGGCCUCUUGACCCACAAGAUUCAUGUUAGCUUCAAGAGCUAAUCAAGGCCUCUGGAAUCGAGCGAAACUGGUCUGAAGAAGCCAACUGAUCGCCAAUAACAUGAGAGAUUCUGUCUUCCAGUGACUUGGAGGUAGAUUAUGAGUCUGAGGAAAGCGCUUCUAUUGUCUAUGCAGCAUUAGCUGUUGAUAAGGAGUUGCAACCAGAAAAGGUGAAGAGGCAGAUGUCAGUUUCUAAUGGAAAUUAUCAAACUUGUCAAGAAUGGGUUCUGAUCUAGGCCAAACAUCAUCCAGGACCAACAGUGAAAGGUCCUGUCCUGUUUCCUUAAGAAAUAUUUGCAGCCACUUAAUUGCAAUAGUGUCCUCUUGCA